rnacentral:rRNA from 1 species
UAACAAGGUUUCCGUAGGUGAACCUGCGGAAGGAUCAUUGUCGAAACCUGCCCAGCAACACAACCCGUGAACUCGUUUAUCGUACCGACGUGGGUUUUGGUGUAAAUCCUCGGGUUUACAGCAUUCCCCAAAAAAGUCGAGGGGUAUGCCCGUUGCUCCGCAGCGUUUGGCUCCUCAAGACAACAAACCAACUCGGGCGCUGGUUGCGCCAAGGAACUUUAUUAAAAACUGAAGGAACUCCCUGCCAUCCCGGAAACGGUGCAUGCGUCGGGGAUCGGUUCCUUGUGGUCAUAAACAAAACGACUCUCGGCAACGGAUAUCUCGGCUCUCGCAUCGAUGAAGAACGUAGCGAAAUGCGAUACUUGGUGUGAAUUGCAGAAUCCCGUGAACCAUCGAGUCUUUGAACGCAAGUUGCGCCCAAAGCCUUUUGGUUGAGGGCACGUCUGCCUGGGUGUCACACAAAGUCGCCCAAGCCCAACACACAGUGGGAAUCGGGCGGAUAUUGGUCUCCCGUGUGCCCUUGCUCGCGGUUGGCCCAAAAUAUGAGCCCUGAUGACUUUAGUCACGGCGAUCGGUGGUUUUUAGGCCCUAGGACAUCGUCGUGCGCUACUGUCUCUCGGUCACUGACGGCCCGAAAAAGCAUAACUGCUUGCUCCUAAAGCGACCCCAGGUCAGGCGGGACAACCCGCUGAGUUUAAGCAUAUCAAU